AACGCGAAGAACCUUACCAAAUCUUGACAUCCUUUGAAAACUCUAGAGAUAGAGCCUUCCCCUUCGGGGGACAAAGUGACAGGUGGUGCAUGGUUGUCGUCAGCUCGUGUCGUGAGAUGUUGGGUUAAGUCCCGCAACGAGCGCAACCCUUAAGCUUAGUUGCCAUCAUUAAGUUGGGCACUCUAGGUUGACUGCCGGUGACAAACCGGAGGAAGGUGGGGAUGACGUCAAAUCAUCAUGCCCCUUAUGAUUUGGGCUACACACGUGCUACAAUGGACAAUACAAAGGGCAGCUAAACCGCGAGGUCAUGCAAAUCCCAUAAAGUUGUUCUCAGUUCGGAUUGUAGUCUGCAACUCGACUACAUGAAGCUGGAAUCGCUAGUAAUCGUAGAUCAGCAUGCUACGGUGAAUACGUUCCCGGGUCUUGUACACACCG
rnacentral:rRNA from 1 species